UCUUCCCUUAAACCCAACAUGCACCAAAACCCCACCUUCUUUGGCUAAUGCUCUCGUCCAUUACGCAACUACAAACAUAACUCCUCAACAAACCCUGAAAGAAAUCUCUGUAACCUUAAGAGUUCUCGAGAAAAAAUCACCCUGCAACUUCCUAGUCUUUGGCCUUGGCCAUGACAGCUUGAUGUGGACAUCUCUAAACCAUGGUGGCCGCACAGUUUUCCUUGAAGAAGACACGUCCUGGAUAGAGCAGAUCAAGGAGAAAAUACCCAGUUUAGAAUCCUACCAUGUGAGCUACGACACCAAAGUGCAUCAAGCAGAUGGGCUGAUGGAGACUGGAAUGGGAGAAGAAUGCAAAGUGGUGAGUGAUCCAAGAUUCUCCAAAUGUCAACUCGCACUCAAGGGGUUCCCUAGCGAUGUGUAUGAUAUAGAAUGGGACUUGAUCAUGGUUGAUGCGCCAACUGGGUAUCAUGACGAGGCGCCAGGGAAAUGGCAAGUUUUGCAUCCCACAUCGGCUGGGAGCAAUAGCAUAUUAACUUUAUAAGUCUCCACCAAGGGCAUUAAAGGCACUUCACCAGGAGGUGGUGGUUGGGUGCCUCUGCUUGUACCCAGGAAAGUCCCCGGGCCCUUCCUGCAGAGAUGCAGUCCGGGAAUCGGGAAAACUUAGGCAUGGAAUUCGAUCGCAAUUGGCGAGGGGCUGAGACAAGUUUGGAGCCCUCGAAUUCUAUACUUGAGUCACAGUGGCCGUUGCUUCACAGUUAUUCACUUAGCCCGCUCUAGGGUUCUAACAGAACGGGGCUUACGGCCUCCUGGUGUGUUUGCCUUUUUCCUAUAUAAUCCAGGGCAUAUUUAGGCUACUGUGAGAUGUUUUAUUCUAAAUCAUAAAUAAUUAGUUAUCAUCUUCAAGUU
rnacentral:misc_RNA from 1 species